rnacentral:rRNA from 1 species
AUAAUGGGUCAGCGACUUAUAUUCUGUAGCAAGGUUAACCGAAUAGGGGAGCCGAAGGGAAACCGAGUCUUAACUGGGCGUUAAGUUGCAGGGUAUAGACCCGAAACCCGGUGAUCUAGCCAUGGGCAGGUUGAAGGUUGGGUAACACUAACUGGAGGACCGAACCGACUAAUGUUGAAAAAUUAGCGGAUGACUUGUGGCUGGGGGUGAAAGGCCAAUCAAACCGGGAGAUAGCUGGUUCUCCCCGAAAGCUAUUUAGGUAGCGCCUCGUGAAUUCAUCUCCGGGGGUAGAGCACUGUUUCGGCAAGGGGGUCAUCCCGACUUACCAACCCGAUGCAAACUGCGAAUACCGGAGAAUGUUAUCACGGGAGACACACGGCGGGUGCUAACGUCCGUCGUGAAGAGGGAAACAACCCAGACCGCCAGCUAAGGUCCCAAAGUCAUGGUUAAGUGGGAAACGAUGUGGGAAGGCCCAGACAGCCAGGAUGUUGGCUUAGAAGCAGCCAUCAUUUAAAGAAAGCGUAAUAGCUCACUGGUCGAGUCGGCCUGCGCGGAAGAUGUAACGGGGCUAAACCAUGCACCGAAGCUGCGGCAGCGACGCUUAUGCGUUGUUGGGUAGGGGAGCGUUCUGUAAGCCUGCGAAGGUGUGCUGUGAGGCAUGCUGGAGGUAUCAGAAGUGCGAAUGCUGACAUAAGUAACGAUAAAGCGGGUGAAAAGCCCGCUCGCCGGAAGACCAAGGGUUCCUGUCCAACGUUAAUCGGGGCAGGGUGAGUCGACCCCUAAGGCGAGGCCGAAAGGCGUAGUCGAUGGGAAACAGGUUAAUAUUCCUGUACUUGGUGUUACUGCGAAGGGGGGACGGAGAAGGCUAUGUUGGCCGGGCGACGGUUGUCCCGGUUUAAGCGUGUAGGCUGGUUUU